GUUUUUGGAAGGUGUAAGGGGGGAAGAAAACACAUGCUAAGUAGACAAUUGCCAAUGUCCAUCUACCUUAUUUCUUUCCACUGGAUUUUGCUGAGGAUGGAUGCGCUUUCUCUUUGCAUAGAGAAGAAUGAGGCUGGGCCAAUGCCAUCUGCUAGUAGUGAGCCACCGCUGCUCAUUGAUGUGGACUCUGCCAUAUUGUUGCAGGCACUAUGGACUGUCAGACUAAUCUCUUCAUGGUGACAAGAUUCCUGUUUUGGUUCAAAGCUUCUCAUCUCACACCUCACUCUUCAGUCAAGAAGGGAGAAUGACUUUUCUGUUUGUUUUUUAGUAGUAAAGAACAAC
rnacentral:lncRNA from 1 species